CAGCAGCCACGGGAAUACGUAGGUGGCAAGCGUCGUCCGGAAUUAUUGGGCGUAAAGGGCUCGCAGGCGGUUUCUUAAGUCUGAUGUGAAAGCCCCCGGCUCAACCGGGGAGGGUCAUUGGAAACUGGGAAACUUGAGUGCAGAAGAGAAGGGUGGAAUUCCACGUGUAGCGGUGAAAUGCGUAGAGAUGUGGAGGAACACCAGUGGCGAAGGCGACUCUCUGGUCUGUAACUGACGCUGAGGAGCGAAAGCGUGGGGAGCGAACAGGAUUAGAUACCCCCGUAGUCCCUGUCUCUUAUAA
rnacentral:rRNA from 1 species